rnacentral:rRNA from 1 species
AAUCAACGCUGGCGGCGUGCCUAACACAUGCAAGUCGAACGAGAAAGUGGAGCAAUCCAUGAGUACAGUGGCGCACGGGUGAGUAACACGUGACUACCUACCCUCGAGUGGGGAAUAACCUCGGGAAACCGGGGCUAACACCGCAUAAUAUCUACGGAUCAAAUGCGAAAGCAGCUUGAGGAGGGGUCGCGGCCGAUUAGCUAGUUGGUGAGGUAAU